rnacentral:rRNA from 1 species
UACGUAGGUGGCAAGCGUUGUCCGGAAUUAUUGGGCGUAAAGCGCGCGCAGGCGGUCCUUUAAGUCUGAUGUGAAAGCCCACGGCUCAACCGUGGAGGUCAUUGGAAACUGGGGGACUUGAGUGCAGGAGAGAAGAGUGGAAUUCCACGUGUAGCGGUGAAAUGCGUAGAGAUGUGGAGGAACACCAGUGGCGAAGGCGACUC